rnacentral:rRNA from 1 species
AUGGGCCAGAUAGCGAUUGCAAGUGCUACAUCAGGUAUAGCGGCGUCAAUAAUGCCCGGAGGACGGACUACGCACUCCAGGUUCAAAAUUCCAAUCAAGCUCACUGACAACAGCAUGUGUAGUUUCACAAAGCAGAGUGGUACAGCGGAGUUGCUUAAACAAGCCUCCUUGAUAAUUUGGGACGAGGUCGCUAUGACAAAACGUCAAGCAGUUGAGACGCUUGAUAGAUCCCUGCAGGACAUAAUGGACUGUUCUUUGCCAUUUGGGGGAAAGGUUGUCGUCUUUGGUGGGGAUUUCAGGCAGGUACUCCCCGUUGUGACACGUGGGACAAGAGCACAGGCUGAUCCUUGGUUCUCUGAAUACCUCCUACGGAUCGGCAAUGGAACAGAAGAGACAAUUGGCGACGACUAUGUGCGUCUCCCUGACGACAUUGUGAUCGGCUAUACCGAGGAUGAGAAAGCUAUUAACAUACUCAUCGACAAUGUCUUCCCAUAG